CUCCUAGACAGAGAGGAAGCAACUGAUGAAGAAUUAUCAUGGAUACAUAACAGACCAGGGCCGGUGCUUUAUCCACUGAGCCACCUAGCUGCCCCCUACAAAGAAUUUCUAUCCGAAGACUGCAAAGAAGCAUCCUUGGGAGGAAGUACGUAAAGGCAAAUGUGAACUCACCAACUAUUGACUCAGUUGAUUCAAGAGGCUCAGGAGGCAAAGAAAUAUCUCUGUCCAAAUUGAAGUCUUCCAACAGGAUAUUGUGGUCAUCUUUUAGCAG